GCCGGUGUGGUGAAAUUGGUAUACACGACGGAUUCAAAAUCCGUUGCCUUCGGGCGUGGCGGUUCGAGUCCGCCUACCGGCACCA
rnacentral:tRNA from 2 species